rnacentral:rRNA from 1 species
CCUACGGGGGUCAGCAGUAGGGAAUCUUCCACAAUGGGCGAAAGCCUGAUGGAGUAACGCCGCGUGGGUGAAGAAGGUCUUCGGAUCGUAAAACCCUGUUGUUAGAGAAGAAAGUGCGUGAGAGUAACUGUUCACGUUUCGACGGUAUCUAACCAGAAAGCCACGGCUAACUACGUGCCAGCAGCCGCGGUAAUACGUAGGUGGCAAGCGUUAUCCGGAUUUAUUGGGCGUAAAGGGAACGCAGGCGGUCUUUUAAGUCUGAUGUGAAAGCCUUCGGCUUAACCGGAGUAGUGCAUUGGAAACCGGGAGACUUGAGUGCAGAAGAGGAGAGUAGAACUCCAUGUGUAGCGGUGAAAUGCGUAGAGAUAUGGAAGAACACCAGUGGCGAAAGCGGCUCUCUGGACUGUAACUGACGCUGAGGUGCGAAAGCGUGGGUAGCAAACAGGAUUAGAUACCCCAGUAGUC